rnacentral:rRNA from 1 species
GACGAACGCUGGCGGCGUGCCUAAUACAUGCAAGUUGAGCGCUGAAGGUUGGUACUUGUACCAACUGGACGAGCAGCGAACGGGUGAGUAACGCGUGGGGAAUCUGCCUUUGAGCGGGGGAUAACAUUUGGAAACGAAUGCUAAUACCGCAUAAAAACUUUAAACACAAGUUUUAAGUUUGAAAGAUGCAAUUGCAUCACUCAAAGAUGAUCCCGCGUUGUAUUAGCUAGUUGGUGAGGUAAAGGCUCACCAAGGCGAUGAUACAUAGCCGACCUGAGAGGGUGAUCGGCCACAUUGGGACUGAGACACGGCCCAAACUCCUACGGGAGGCAGCAGUAGGGAAUCUUCGGCAAUAGACGAAAGUCUGACCGAGCAACGCCGCGUGAGUGAAGAAGGUUUUCGGAUCGUAAAACUCUGUUGGUAGAGAAGAACGUUGGUGAGAGUGGAAAGCUCAUCAAGUGACGGUAACUACCCAGAAAGGGACGGCUAACUACGUG